GCCAUGCCUCAGCGCGUUCGGGUGCUGCGGUGCUUCUCGUGUCGCCUCUUCCAGGCGCAGCAGGUAACGAAGAGCCGGAAGUGGACCUGCAAAGCAUGUGGGGAGAAGCAGUCAUUUCUGAGGACCUACGGCGAGGGCUCAGGAGCCGACUGCAGGCGCCAUGUGCAGAAACUGAACCUACUGCAGGGGCAGCUUUCUGAGGAGUCACCCAGGCUUCUGGAAAGUGGGGCGCAGAUCAGUGAAGAGGACCCUCCGCUGGCCAGGCAUGCAUGUCUACAGCCCAGGACCUCGGAAAGCCGCUGGCAGAAGUACCUGGAGGGAGACUCUGAAGAAAAGAUGUUGGCAGGGGACACAUGCCAG